rnacentral:hammerhead_ribozyme from 1 species
AUCCAGCUGACGAAUCCCGAAUAGGACGAAAUGCGCGUCCUGGAU